rnacentral:rRNA from 1 species
AAUAGAUACCCUGGUAGUCCACGCCGUAAACGAUGUCGACUUGGAGGUUGUUCCCUUGAGGAGUGGCUUCCGGAGCUAACGCGUUAAGUCGACCGCCUGGGGAGUACGGCCGCAAGGUUAAAACUCAAAUGAAUUGACGGGGGGCCCGCACAAGCGGUGGAGCAUGUGGUUUAAUUCGAUGCAACGCGAAGAACCUUACCUACUCUUGACAUCCAGAGAACUUUCCAGAGAUGGAUUGGUGCCUUCGGGAACUCUGAGACAGGUGCUGCAUGGCUGUCGUCAGCUCGUGUUGUGAAAUGUUGGGUUAAGUCCCGCAACGAGCGCAACCCUUAUCCUUUGUUGCCAGCGGCUAGGCCGGGAACUCAAAGGAGACUGCCAGUGAUAAACUGGAGGAAGGUGGGGAUGACGUCAAGUCAUCAUGGCCCUUACGAGUAGGGCUACACACGUGCUACAAUGGCGCAUACAAAGAGAAGCGACCUCGCGAGAGCAAGCGGACCUCAUAAAGUGCGUCGUAGUCCGGA